GUGAAUCAUCAAAUUUUUGAACGCAAAUUGCACUCUCCUCGGAGAGUAUGCCUGUUUGAGGGUCAGCCUAAAAAAAAAAUCGACAUCGUUGCUGUUUCGCGGUGAGGUUAGUCGGAAAUUGGGUCAUCGUAAAACUUUUGGUUUUUAAGUGACUUAAAAUUUUCUUUUGAGCCCAUGAACGUUUCUUAGAUUUAUAUCUUUACACGUUUAAGGGUAUCGAUUUUAUUAGACGUGGCCGUCAUAUCGGAUUGCGGUCAAAAGA
rnacentral:misc_RNA from 1 species